AGUUAGAUAUACUGUUUUAGCCUAUUGUUAAUGUUUUAGCCUGUUGUUAGAUUAGUUUGAAUUUCGCUAUCAGUUUGAUAUACUGCAUUAGAUGUUCAUACAAUCUCACUUCUGCAUCUAAUUUUGGAUGUAAAAAUGUUCAUACAAUCUGAAUACAUAUAUUUGACCUUUGUUAUUGAGCUCAUUGUCAUUGUCACAUUGAUCUCUACUUCUGGGAACCAAGGUUACUAGCAGCAACACAUAAUACUUUUAUAUGAUUAAGCUUUGAAAUUUGUAGAGUUGUACGCUAUAAGUAGAGUUUUCCAGCCAAUGUAGCCAUUUCUUUAAGGGGAAGGAAGACUUCACUGUCUGGCCCAAGACCUCAGCACACAGGCCAUCGAACGAACUAAUGGAUGGAUUUUGUGUAUAAAUUUUGGAUUUUUGUUUAUAUAGUUAGAUUUGAAUAUUUUUUUGGGUAAAAUUUACAAUUACAUCAUGUUAUGGGUUCUUAUGAGGGGUUAAAUUGGCUUUGGGAGUUUUGAUUUGAUGAGAUAGCUAGGAAGUAUACAGGGAGAGAGGGAGGUAGGUCAUUUGCAGGAAUGGAGAUUCGGGUGAGAAAAACCGUAGAUGAGGGGUGAAAGAGAGAUUUAGGGUUGGUGGUAGGAAGGGAAGGGAGAGAUGAGAGAGACGGGCUGGGCUCUUUUUCCCUAAUUUAUUUUUAAUUGAUUUGGGGUUAUUUUGAGUUUGGGUUCUGAUCGGUGUGAAAUGGCUUGGUGACAGAGUACAUGUUUUUUUGCUAAUUUGUGCCAUGGUUCUGCAAUUUUGUGCGUCAGGGUUUCUGAGUUUAUCAUUUCAUUUUUUUGGUUGGUUGGUUUAUUUUGCACGUUCCAUUUACACAGGGACGAUGACAUCUUGGGCAGCUUCCACGAUUUUGGUACACUUGAGGGUAAGAUUAGUUCCACGAUUUUGCAGGUUCCCUGUGCAUCUACAGCUACCACUCUCAGCAUGUUCGAUUCCAUUCUUCCGAGUUCUGAUGGCUGCCCCUAACAAUGCGCCGAUGGUUUUGGACAAAGGAAUAGAUUUUUGGUAUGGUAGAUAAGGAGAUGGAAUAUAGGGUUGAGUUGUCUAACAAAGGGAACUGUAGAGUUCGUUUUGGUGGAAUUGGAGUUUUAACAACUUAACAGUAGACUAAUAGUUGAUCUGAGCAUCCUCCCUUCACUUCCUCGAUCAUCGGUUGGUUCUUCUUGCUUGGUUUAAUUGGGUAAAUUAAUAAUUUCGUGUAUUGAUAAAAUCUCAUGUGAGAGAUUAAUAAAGCUUUCAUUUUUAAUUUGUUGGUUUGUGAUUAUUGAUUAGUUGGUUUGAUUGAGUGGUUGUAUAUAAAUUUUUUAGCGAUAAUGUACUAAUGGCAUUCCAGAGCUGGUUAUCUAACAAAUUUUGUAGCAAAAUAAUUUCAAUGUUGGUGCUUUGUGGAUUUUGCGUACUGUUACGGCUUCCUGGGACCUCAUCAUCUG